rnacentral:lncRNA from 1 species
GGUGUGAAUAUGUAGGGCUUUAAGUGAAUGCAUAAAUAUCAUUUCAGCUCUCUGCUGCUUAGAAAGUAAUGCACAGAUAAGAAGCCAAGGAAUGCAAAUGUAUUUUGGCAUUCAUUAGGCUUGAAAUGUAAAUAAAAAAUGACAUAUUCAUUUAAGGGUUGAUCAAAUAAAACAAGCAAUUUUUAAUGAAUGAAGUUUUAUAGAAGUAAUUUCAAUCCAAAAGAAUUAAGCUUUUAAAUAAGACAUAUUUAUUAUGCUAAAAAACAUGUAUUUUCAUCUUCCUAAUACACUAAAAUAGCACACAGAAUAAUAGUGUAGCACACAAUACAAACUGAUAUGUGCAAUCAAUAAUUCUAAAAAUUGUUGUUUUAAGUCUUUCUUUGGAAGUCCUUAAAUGCAAAAGAAGAAAUUUUUAAUUUUGUUUAAUUUUUAAAAACAUUUUUCAGGGUUUUCUAAUCCGGGUUUAAAUAGUUUAUGCUGAAAUCCCAGUUAAUCUGGCUUAUUCACUCAAUGUCUCCCUUUCCCAGUGGUAUCUAUGCUCAGAAAAGUAUGUUAUAGUGGGGGUAUGUUCAGGUGAUUACUUUAAUGCCUCGUUAUCAUAGUAGGAACUAUCCAAUGCAGGGAUUAGAGAAUGGGGUCACCUGAAAGUUCAAAAUUGCACCUGUAUGCUUCAUGCACCUACCUUCCAGGCUGUCAUUGAUGAAGAGCUUCAUACAAUACAAAGUUUAAGAACUGUCUGGAGAAAUACUUACCCAUUGAGCUCUGAAGGAAAGAAUGGACAACAUAUAUAUAUAUGAGGACAACAAAUUACUUGAUUCUAUAGAAACCUUCUGGAUUACAAAAACUCAAGAUAAUAGGACCAAGGAGGAAUAAUCUGACCAGGCAGUAUAACUGGUCAGAAAAGUAGUAGGCCAUU